rnacentral:misc_RNA from 1 species
CUCCCUUCUCCGACCUUUCACAAUCAAUCCACGGGACACACUACCGGACCUCAGCUGAGCAGAGAGCUUCCUUUCUUUUUCUUAGCAAAUCUUCAACAGCUCUACUUGAACUCAACCCAGCUGUGAACUGUCUCUUCAUCUUCCGCUUUUCUCCUUUUCUUUAUGUCCUCGUCUCAUCACAAACCAUGCCUGCUCACAAACCCCACCUCCUCCUCCUUAUUCUUCCGAU